rnacentral:rRNA from 1 species
GACAGAGGGUGCAAACGUUGUUCGGAAUUACUGGGCGUAAAGCGCGCGCAGGCGGCCUCGCGCGCCCGACGUGAAAGCCCCCGGCUUAACCGGGGAGGGUCGUUGGGGACGGCGGGGCUUGAGGGCGGGAGAGGUCGGUGGAAUUCCCGGUGUAGUGGUGAAAUGCGUAGAGAUCGGGAGGAACACCUGUGGCGAAGGCGGCCGACUGGGCCGACCCUGACGCUGAGGCGCGAAGGCGUGGGGAGCGAACGGGG